rnacentral:misc_RNA from 1 species
UCCGGUUUGUCACCGGCAGUCUCCCUAGAGUGCCCUUGCGUAGCAACUAGGGAUAAGGGUUGCGCUCGUUAAGGGACUUAACCCGACAUCUCACGAUACGAGCUGACGACAGCCAUGCAGCACCUGUCUCCUUGUCCCCGAAGGGAAAACGGUACUUCUACCGCGAUCAAGGGAUGUCAAACCUAGGUAAGGUUCUUCGCGUAGCAUCGAAUUAAACCACAUGCUCCACCGCUUGUGCGGGCCCCCGUCAAUUCCUUUGAGUUUUAACCUUGCGGCCGUACUUCCCAGGCGGGGUACUUAACGCGUUAGCUACGACACUGUGGGGGUCAAUUCCCACAACAUCUAGUACCCAUCGUUUACAGCGUGGACUAC